CCGUUGCUGGAUGGAUGAAUGAAUGAAUGAAUGAAUGAAUGAAUGAAUGAAUUGAAUGAGCCUCGUUAGACAGUCCCACCAAGAGCAUUUCUUGAUGUCAACACAAACUCAUCUUUUGUCUUGUGUUUUCCCCCUAGGGCCACCCAGUGACUCAUUGACAAAGAUUUUAAGUCCAACUAUCCACAUGAGAAUCUUGCUACAAGCUGCCUCAUCUCCUCUUCUCCCCUCCAAGAGGCAUGUUCACUGCCCAAUUAUCCAGUUAUCUGACUUGGUUUUAGGCCUUAUUCCAGGUGGUUCCAAGCUCCUGGAACACCUGACCGACUAUGAUCCCAUCCCAUCAGUUCUGCUGCCUCUUGAGGUAGAUCCUUUAUAAUGUGAUUAGACUUAGCCCAGUGAUGCCAUCUUUCCCCAGAAAUACUUUAGAAACACCUCUUUUAGGACUUUCAGAACCAGUUAUAAUGAUUUAGUGCUCCUGUUUGUAUGUGGCCAAAAACAGUUUGGCCUCAUCGGACUUGAGGCCGAAUAAUUUCGGCUAUUUCCGAAACGUAGAUCCCGCCUCAAGGACCAAAGUUGUUCUUUACUCUAAUUAUCUAUUUAAUGUUUCUCUCUCAGAUAGACUUAAAAAAGUGGCGGCAGGCUACGUUUGUGUUGUUGACUGCACUACCCCAAGCACAGAGCCCAAUGUGCUGCAGGGGUGAAACUAAUGAGUGAGUGAAUAAAUGAAUGAUCUGAAGACCUUCCCAAAAGAUUUUUCUUUGAUUCAAUGAACACAUGCCUGACACUGCUGGGGGUUGAGAAUAUGGAGAUGAAUGAGAAAAAAAAAAAAUUAUUUUCUUUAAAGAGCUUAAAGUCUGGAAGAGAAAAAAACUUACGGAAAAGGGAAAAAUAUUUAUUGUCAACUCUUAUGGAGCACGCACAUAUAUUAUUUCAUUUAAGUGCCUCAGCAAUCAAAUAAGUGUGAGAUUUUGAUCCCCAUUUUAAAGACUAAAAAGUUGGAAUUCGACAGUGUUACACAACUUGCGUAAUAUUAAUAAGUGACAAGCCGGUCUUUGAACCCAGAGCCUAUGAACUAAGGACCUUUCUUCCAUGACACCAAGCAACGGCUGUGCAAUUCAAGCAAAUGUUUUGGCUUUUAAGUGACUACUUUUGAAAGCCUGAAGGAGAUGACACGUAAAUGGCUAUCUAAGUGCAGAUGAUGAAAGCCAGCCUCGUCAAACUUAAAGAAUGUUCUUUCCCAUGCCAUACAACAAACGGUGCAAGAACUCGAACCAAGGUAUGUUGGAUUUUAAAGCCAUGAUCCCUUUACAUUCCCCCCCCUCCACCCAAAAUGAGGAGUAAGGAUCUUUGGCAAAAGGAAAGUGGCAUUACGGACUCGUGAAAGAUGGUAAAAAUAUAUAUAUAUAUAUUGGAAAGUUUUUGAAAGUCUUAGUGUUUCACAAGACGACUGCAUACCUGGAGUUGGACAAUUUAGGUACAAGCAAGCAUAUUCUGACAUCUGGGGUAAUGUAUUUAGGCCCACUGCCAGGGUGUCCUAACAGCACAGGUUGUUCUAGGUCCUCUGGAGGCAGGAAAAGGAAAAGAUGUCUGUGUAUCAGGUGCACCUGGGGAACCAUGGUGGCCACCCUCUCCCUCCCAGCACAUUCAAAUAACACAGCGUAAGACGGCAGAAAAAGACGAGGUGGGUAACGAUGGGUGGAAAUACCCUAAGUAUGUCGAAAGACUCAUACUUAAAGAAAAAGGUCCUCCGUGUGAGUAGAGCUUAUGAAAGGGACCGGAGUCCAUUUUCUCGUUGACCUCUCUUGCUUCCUACUUCCUGCUUCUUUCCUCAUAGUAUGUUUGAGCAGAAAAGGGCCCUAGAAAUCGAGACCAGCGUCCUCAUUUUUCAGACGAAACAUCUGAGACCAACAGAAGUAUCUGAAAUCACACUUCUUGUUUCAGAAAUUAGGUAGCUAUCAGUUCUCAUUUUCGCUUUUCACCAUAUACUGUAGUAAGGAGCGAAAGGGCAGACCAAAAACACAAACAAAACACAACAAAACCAGAAAGAAAACCCCCAAGAAACCAGAAAUUUUACUUCGUAUCACAAAGAUACCCCUGCUCAUCUUGAAUUUCCCUAAUUCCAUGACAAUGUGCUUUGAAUCUUCUUCAACUACCAAGAGGCACUAAAGGUUUCUACGACCUCAUUCACACACUCUUGUCUGGGUCACUUCUAAGGCCAGGUUGAAGGGCAGGACUGUGGGGUGGCAGGAUUUCUCUUCACUCAGGGUCACAUGCAUUGGUGGCCUCCUUGGAUGACCAACCAUCCUGGUUUCCCUGGGGUUGAAAGGGUUGCUGGGAUGUGGGAUUUCGGUGCUAAAAACCAGAAAAGUCCCAGGGAAACCAGGACAAACUGGUCCCCCUACUGCCUACAGCAGGGCCACAUUCUCAACUGAGCUAAUGAACCUGGACAGGUAAAAUGUAUUUAGCUGGAAGGUUUAGCUGGUAUGACACUGGCAAAACGGUCGCUAACAUUUCAAGUUUUUAAGAAAAAGAAAGCAGAAUGAAGAUUAACGACUAUAAAGAGCCUUCCGUUUGGGCAGGAAGGUAUUCUCAAAGUCGGAAGUGUUAAGUCCAUAAAAGAAACAAUAUGAGAAUGCAGUGGGGCUUUUUCAUACCUAACAAGUAUGACUAAAUCUCUGAACACUUCCUGUUCCGUCCCAUGUUUUUCUGAAAUUCGCUUUUCCUUAUCGGCCAAGAAGGU